UUACGGCCAUAUCACGUUGAACUCGCCGGUUCUCGUCCGAUAACCGAAGUUAAGCAACGUCCAGCCUGGUCAGUAUUUAGAUGGAUGACCGCUUGGGAAUACCAAGUGCUGUAA